rnacentral:rRNA from 2 species
AACUUUCAACAACGGAUCUCUUGGUUCUGGCAUCGAUGAAGAACGCAGCGAAAUGCGAUAAGUAAUGUGAAUUGCAGAAUUCCGUGAAUCAUCGAAUCUUUGAACGCACAUUGCGCCCGCCAGUAUUCUGGCGGGCAUGCCUGUUCGAGCGUCAU